rnacentral:rRNA from 1 species
AGUGAACGCUGGCGGUAGGCCUAACACAUGCAAGUCGAACGGCAGCACAGGAGAGCUUGCUCUCUGGGUGGCGAGUGGCGGACGGGUGAGGAAGACAUCGGAAUCUACUUUUUCGUGGGGGAUAACGUAGGGAAACUUACGCUAAUACCGCAUACGACCUACGGGUGAAAGCAGGGGACCUUCGGGCCUUGCGCGAUUGAAUGAGCCGAUGGCGGAUUAGCUAGUUGGCGGGGUAAAGGCCCAGCAAGGCGACUAUCCGUAGCUGGUCUGAGAUGCUGAUCAGCCAGACUGGAACUGAGACACGGGCCAGACUCCUACGGGAGGCAGCAGUAGGGAAUAUUGGACAGUGGGCUCAAGCCUGAUCGAGCCAUACCGCGUGGGUGAAGAAGGCCUUCGGGUUGUAAAGGCCUUUUGUUGGGAAAGAAAUCCAGCUGGCUAAUACCCGGUUGGGAUGACGGUACCAAAAGAAUAAGCACCGGCUAACUUCGUGCCAGCAGCCGCGGUAA